UACGUGAGGUGCGAGCGUUGCCCGGAUUUAUUGGGCGUAAAGAGCGUGUAGGCGGCCUGGUAGGUCAGCUGUGAAAACUCGAGGCUCAACCUCGAGAUGUCGGCGGAAACCACUUGGCUAGAGUCCGGAAGAGGAGAGUGGAAUUCCCGGUGUAGCGGUGAAAUGCGCAGAUAUCAGGAAAAACACCCGGUGGCGAAGGCGGUUCUCUGGGACGGUACUGACGCUGAGACGCGAAAGCGUGGGGAGCGAACAGG
rnacentral:rRNA from 1 species